UGGUACAGCGGGUUGUCCACUAAUCGUAGGGAUGGCGGUUCGAUUCCCGGCCCACGUGACUCCACAUGCCGAAGUGUCCUUGAAAGACAGACACUGAACCCCGAGUUGCUCCCGAUGGCAAGUUAGCACCUUGCAUAGCAGCUCUGCUACCAUGUGUGUGUGUGUGUGUGAAUGAGACCGUGAAAAGCGCUUUGGAACCGCUAAGGUUAAAAAAGCGCCAUAUAAGCGCAGACCAUUUACCAUGCAACCCCGAAACCAUUUUUCCUUUAACGUCACCCAUCUGCAGUUCCUGUACUGGAUCGUCAUUACGAAAAGUUUGUGAACGUCAGUAGAAGGGAGCUGUGUGUGCACUCAAGCACCAGAGAGCUGGAAAUCAUUUCUCAAAGAUCUUCCCCUGCUUUCCCUCACUGGAAAAGCCUGAGGCCCACAGAAGGAAGCAGGGAGGCUGCAGUAAGUUUUAAAUGUAGCGUGGACAUCCAGUAAGCAAGAACUCCUCCCACCCAAAAAAAAAAAAAAAAAAAAACAUUUGAAACCAAACCAGCCCACAGAGAUCCAGGCACAUGAAUGGAGUGUUUUCCGUUACUCACAUUCCUGAGCUUCGGUUAAGCUGAGCUCACGGAAACGGUUGAGUGUGACAGUUAUUUUCUAAAAGGGGACGUUGAGAACAGAAAACUUAAUCCGGUGCUAAAGAAGGAGGGAUCCCUGAAAGCUGGAACGCAUCAGGAAAGAGUCGAACCUUGUGUGUUUCGUCACUAUGUCUCAGUCUCGCUGUAGAGUGCUGUAGCACACACUCCGGCUGUAGUUACACUCUGACGAAGGCUUCUGUCGUCUGUUUGAACCGUUAUCUCCUGUGACUUUACGAUAUCACUCAAGAGUGGAAAUGAUCUGCCAGGAGGUGGUGAGAAACUGAGCGCUUCAGCAGCUGAGCCCUUCCUCGCUGACCAAUAGCAAGACAUUUCAGAGAUGCUUACAUCAUCAGGCAAUAAUCAGAGCAGGGGAUUCGUCAGCCAAUUAUCACUCCGGCAAAUGAAGAGCCAUGCAAUCAAGUGUGCAGAAGGGUGCCUCUGCAUCAGCUGUUAUUACAUGAGCAGUGGAUGUGCAGUUCCUCACCAGGGCUCUACGGUAACAAUUUCUUUUAGAAGCACUUGUGUUCCUAAUUACAAAAAUUCAGGAGCACGAUUGAACUUUUGGGGGGGUUUUUAGAGAUGGUAAUGUUAAUGUGCCACAAUAUAACGCACAAGUACUCAUGAGAAAACUUGAGAAUUCAGGAACACCGUGUGAGCCAUGGCACAUUAAUUUACCUUCUGAUAAACUAAACUUGAUAUUUCCAGUUAAUUUUACAGACUGUAUGCAAAAAACAACAACUGUUCCAUCUUGUAAACAAAUACAAUAAACAUCAAUGUUCAGUGUUUGAAGUCUGCUCCUCUUAAAUAUAUGUAACGCUACCACUAUUAGACAUUUUCCACUGUCAUGGUUCUGGGCUGGAGUCAGUUCCUGAACCGCUCGGUGUAUAUUGUGUACAUAUCUGAAUAAUCUCAUACAGGAUAUGACCGAGUGAGUCAUUUACCCGUCAGAUGCGAAGCACUUUAGUUUAACGGUGUUCAUUAGGGACGCACCGAUCGGGAUUUUUACAGCCGAUACCGAGUUCUUGUCAACCGAUCCAGAUACCAAUCUUUUUUUUCCCGUUUAAGCUUUAAUCAGGAGGUCGGUCAUAAACAGUUAAAUGUAAGCUCUCUGCUCAUGGUCACUGUUCAUUGAAUUAAAAUAAUAGCAAUGAGAAAUACUGAAAUACUAAAUUUAAAGGAUAUUUGUGUCAGUACUCCAGUACCAAUGAAUAUUCGUAAGAAUUAAAACUUCAUUCAUGGCUUUUUGAAAGGAUGUACGUGCAUUUUUAUGCUAUUAUAUUAUUACAUCAGUGGCAUAAAAUGGUUUUAAAAUGACUAUAAUAUCAUUUAUCAUGAUUAUUUCUGGGACAAUAUAUCGGCCAACAAAAGUAGUUAUCCAGACCGGCCUAGCAGUCGCACUCGGGCACAGACCCAGACAACCGUCUCAGCAUGAUUCGCUCGCAGAAAGAGAGCGACUUGGUCCUGAAUCAACUCAACUGCGACAGUUUGUAUUUUGAGUUGCAGCAUUUGGUUUUUGCAAAACGUGAGCUGCUAAACACUUAUUUAUAUAACUGGCUAAUACUUCAUUGCGUGCCAGCUCCAUGUUCACCUCGCUCAUCAGAUUUUGGUAAAGGUUGUUUUUUUUUUUAACCCUCUUUCGUCAGGUAUUUCUGACCAAUUAAUGAACGUGCACGUUUUCAGCCCUUCACGUCCCACAGUCAGAUUUCUUUUGGCUUUUAGGUUCCUUUCAUUAAGUGCAGUGAGAAAACAAAACAAACCAAAGAGCAAAUUAAUUUAAAAAAACUUGCUGCGAUUCGGUAACCAGACUAAUAGUUA